CCUACGGGUGGCUGCAGUGAGGACUAUUGGUCAAUGGUCGGGAGACUGAACCAGCCAAGCCGCGUGAGGGAUGAAGGUACAGAGUAUCGUAAACCUCUUUUGUCAGGGAACAAAGGCGGGGACGCGUCCCCGGAUGAGUGUACCUGAAGAAAAAGCAUCGGCUAACUCCGUGCCAGCAGCCGCGUUAAUACGGAGGAUGCGAGCGUUAUCCGGAUUUAUUGGGUUUGAAGGGUGCGCAGGUGGUCGUUUAAGUAAGCGGUCAAAGCACGGGGCUCAACCCCGGCCCGCCGUUGAAACUGGCAGUCUCGAGUUGGAGAGAAGUAUGCGGAAUGCGCGGUGUAGCGGUGAAAGGCAUAGAUAGCGCGCAGAACUCCGAUUGCGAAGGCAGCAUGCCGGCUCCACACUGACGCUGAGGCACGAAAGCGUGGGUAUCGAACAGGAUUAGAUACCCCUGUAGUC
rnacentral:rRNA from 1 species